GACAUACAUUAGUGCUCGAGGCGGGAAGCCCAGUUGGAUACCAGAUAAUUUCAAUGCAAGUGAUUUUUAUUACUAUAUUUUGCUUUUGGUCGGGCCUAGCUUUUAAAUAUGUAGGUUUUCAGGUCUUAAGUAUGCAGAUUUUAAUAUGUAUGUUGGAGAUUUUGGUUACUUUUUCAUUAAACAUUAGAAUAUGCAUCUACAUAUAAAGGGUUAGAGAAAAAGAACCCGGUUAGACAUUGUCUUAAACAAUAAGGAAUUACUUUCAGUAAAGACCCGAUAUUUGUGUAUUUUGAAGAGCAGAGACAUGUGGUGAAACUAGGGCAAAGAUUGCAGCCGCAGUGUGGGAAACAUGGGAUAGAUGGUGUUUCACCUGUAGGAUCAUAACAUGUUUCAUCGUGACUAUCUCGAUUUAAUUGGCGAAACUACUAGAAUAGGGCUUUCUGCAGAGCAAAGAAGGUAGCUUUAGAUUCCAAAUUUUUUGAUUGGUGAAACGCAAAGAGCUGCAGAAGCAUUAAAGGCAGCUGCAAACAGUCCAAUGGUUGAACCUUCUUUAGUUGAAAUGAAAAAGUUGAUUGCUAAAGCAAUAUCAAGUCCAUAGAGACGGCAAUAGCGGAUCACUAUACAGUUUGUAGUGUGUGAAGAUCUUGCCGGAUUGUUGUCCAUAUUCGAAAGCAAUAGGACUGGCUUUCAAUUGCACUUUUCUUAACUUAUAUCUUGUGCAAGGUUAUUGCUCAUGGAGCAUGUAUACAAUCCCAGUGGCAGCCUUGAAAGAUAGUUAGCUGAUGAACUACGUGCCAGAGUAUGUUUUGAAGCUCAUCCAUAAGCAUUAUAACGAACCUAACGUAGCUUUUAUUUUGUUGCAAGUUCCCCACCAUAAUACCACACCACUUUCAGUCUACAACUUUAUAUAUAUCAUAUAUAUAAAUUUAUGUCUUUUGAGUAUUUCUUUUCUUAAAUUUAAUUAUCAUUAGAUUAAAGCAGUAAAGAUAAAGGAUCCCAAUUUCCCUUUUUGUGAAAAAGAAUUGACAUCCCUAAAUUAUUAACAAUGAUAUAAUAUAUAUAUUUUCGAUUUUA